CUGAUAAACAAAUGUAUGUAUGUAAUCUUGUCAGGUUGAUCCAUUUGUAUCUCUAAGUUCACUUACAGGUACAUUUUUCCAGGUGUUGCAGAGGCAAAUAUGUAUUGGUGCUAUUGUCUAGAAUCGGCCCAUAUAAAUUUAUCACCACAAUCAACAGAACUGUUCCAAAUAUGAAGUUGGAAAGUGAGAUAAGACUGUGUUGCACAUACAGUGUUUACAUAUACUGUAUGUGUGUGAUUAAUCUGUGUAUUUAUGAGGAAAACCUAAAUUGUUUUUUUUCCCAUGUAAACAGGAUUUACCUUCAUUGUCUCUUUUACUGUCAAACCAUCAAUGCCUACAUGUUCCAUCUGGUGCGGAAUUUUUAAAGGCAGUCAACAGAGCAAGCUUUCUACAAUGACAUUUAAAAUUACUGGCAUUUGGGGAGCAAGAAAUGAAAACUUAAGGUUGGUUGGAUUAUUCUCAUAAUAUCUUAUAUUUGACAGAUUUUGAACUCAAGCAACUAUCCCUGCUCUUUGACAUUUCAGAUUGAUCCAAUGAUGUACAAGUACAUUAUUGGCAUCAUCAAUGAACACAACCACUGGACUGUGACGGAGUCGUCGAUUGCCUUUUCAAAUACGGACGAAGACGUUAACAUCACAAGAGAAGAAAUAGCAGCCACUCUCCUCCAAAACACUGAUUGGUUGUGACCGCUGCCCACGAAGGUCCCACCAGUCCUGUAUGAAAACCAUCCCAUCAUUGGAGGAUUAUGUCUACGCUGCAUGUCAGGACUAGGUUAGGCUAGAGUUCCAGGUGACAGUAUCACCUGGAAAACUUUCCAUAAAAAGUGGAAUAAAUGUCCAGUUUCUUUGUUAUUUGAUUUGUCAUUUUACAUCUUAUUGAUUAUACUUUUUAUAGAACAAACUUCACAUCAGGAUAGGAAACCAA